rnacentral:rRNA from 1 species
CCUGAUGCAGCAACGCCGCGUGAGGGACGAAGGCCUUCGGGUUGUAAACCUCUUUUAGUAGGGAAGAAGCGAAAGUGACGGUACCUGCAGAAAAAGCACCGGCUAACUACGUGCCAGCAGCCGCGGUAAUACGUAGGGUGCAAGCGUUGUCCGGAAUUAUUGGGCGUAAAGAGCUCGUAGGCGGUUUGUCGCGUCUGCUGUGAAAACUGGAGGCUCAACCUCCAGCCUGCAGUGGGUACGGGCAGACUAGAGUGCGGUAGGGGAGAUUGGAAUUCCUGGUGUAGCGGUGGAAUGCGCAGAUAUCAGGAGGAACACCGAUGGCGAAGGCAGAUCUCUGGGCCGUAACUGACGCUGAGGAGCGAAAGCAUGGGGAGCGAACAGGAUUAGAUACCCUGGUAGUCCAUGCCGUAAACGUUGGGAACUAGAUGUAGGGGCCAUUCCACGGUUUCUGUGUCGCAGCUAACGCAUUAAGUUCCCCGCCUGGGGAGUACGGCCGCAAGGCUAAAACUCAAAGGAAUUGACGGGGGCCCGCACAAGCGGCGGAGCAUGCGGAUUAAUUCGAUGCAACGCGAAGAACCUUACCAAGGCUUGACAUAUACCGGAAACGGCUAGAGAUAGUCGCCCCGCAAGGUC